UGAAAGCUUACAUCUCUUCGGAGCAUUUUACGAGGUGCUGCAUGGUUGUCGUCAGCUCGUGCCGUGAGGUGUCGGGUUAAGUCCCAUAACGAGCGCAACCCUACCUUUAGUUGCCAUCAGGUAAUGCUGGGACUCUAAAGGAACUGCCUACGCAAGUAGUGAGGAAGCGGGGAUGACGUCAAAUCAGCACGGCCCUUACGUCCAGGGCUACACACGUGCUACAAUGGCCGAUACAGAGGGCAGCUACCUGGUGACAGGAUGCAAAUCUCCAAAGUCGGUCUCAGUUCGGAUCGGAGUCUGCAACCCGACUCCGUGAAGUUGGAUUCGCUAGUAAUCGCGCAUCAGCCAUGGCGCGGUGAAUACGUUCCCGGGCCUU
rnacentral:rRNA from 1 species